GAGUUUGAUCCUGGCUCAGGACGAACGCUGGCGGCGUGCUUAACACAUGCAAGUGGAGCGACGAACCAGGGCUUGCCCUGGGGCAGAGCCGCGAACGGGUGAGUAACACGUGGGUAACCUACCCCGAUGACCGGGACAACCCGAGGAAACUCGAGCUAAUACCGGAUGUUCUCGUUUUUCGUAAGGAAAUCGAGCAAAGAUAGCUUCGGCCUUCGCAUCGGGACGGGCCCGCGGCCCAUUAGCUUGUUGGUGGGGUAACGGCCUACCAAGGCGACGAUGGGUAGCUGGUCUGAGAGGACGAUCAGCCACACUGGGACUGAGACACGGCCCAGACUCCUACGGGAGGCAGCAGUGGGGAAUCUUGCGCAAUGCGCGAAAGCGUGACGCAGCAACGCCGCGUGGGGGAAGAAGGCC
rnacentral:rRNA from 1 species